rnacentral:lncRNA from 1 species
UUUUGUGCUACAUAUCGUACUGUUACACGCUUUAGCGGAGAAUCUUGAACUCUUUUGAUCUGAGUUACACCACUUAACGACUUCUUUAAAUAUAAAUUUCAUUUACUCCGAAACCCCCCGGCGACCGUCCAGCCCCGCAGCCGAGCUUCCUGGCACACCGACUCUUAUGUCGCACAUCGUCGACCGUCCUACCCCGCAGUGACCGUCCUGCGCCGCCGACGCUUCGUCUUCAUUUGGAGGGGUAGCCGUUAAUUUGCAGUACUAUGUUGAGAUUAUAUUAAGGAAUAGAGAAAGUAAAAUUUUGACUG